rnacentral:rRNA from 1 species
UAAUACGAAGGGGGCUAGCGUUGCUCGGAGUCACUGGGCGUAAAGGGCGCGUAGGCGGUGCGUAAAGUCAGGCGUGAAAGCCCCGGGCUUAACCUGGGAAUUGCGCUUGAUACUGACGCGCUAGAGAACGGGAGAGGAUGGCGGAAUUCCCAGUGUAGAGGUGAAAUUCGUAGAUAUUGGGAAGAACACCGGUGGCGAAGGCGGCCAUCUGGACCGUUUCUGACGCUGAGGCGCGAAAGCGUGGGGAGCAAACAGGAUUAGAUACCCUGGUAGUCCACGCUGUAAACGAUGAGUGCUAGACGUUGGGGGCUUGGCCUUCAGUGUCGCAGCUAACGCAAUAAGCACUCCGCCUGGGGAGUACGGCCGCAAGGUUA